rnacentral:lncRNA from 1 species
UUUUUUCAAAACAUUAGAUUCUGUAUCGAGAGAGUAGUAUGAGAUAAGGGGUAUUUCCGAUUUUCUCUUAUCUAUCGGGAAUUCAGUUCAGCGUCACAAACUUAUUUGUUUUCAUGCCGGAGAGUUCUUAACAAUAUUUAUGUUAUGAAAGAGUACGAAAAAAAAAUAUUUUUUCCUUAUUUGAUCGGAUUAAAAAGAAACUUUGGGAUUGCUGAAUCACAGACAAAAAAAAUAAAAAAUAAACAUAUAAAGCAACGGAGCCAUCAUAGUAUUUUUGAACUCCUCCGAAAGGAAGGAUGGCAAUUUGAUUAUUUACCCAUCUGAGUCUGAUAGAUUCUAUUUUCUCUUUCUUCAAUCAAAAAAAAAAAAAAAAAAUACUACUACUAGAUUUCUAAUGUCGAUUCUA